GUUUGCUGCUGCUGCUGCCGUGUUAAAAAACAAUAUGAGUAAUCGAAGAUACAAGGCACAAACAAAAGCUCUUCUGCAGAGCCUACUCUGGUUGAUGCACAACCCGUGGAAAGAAAACAGGUUAUUACAUCGCCAUGGCAAACAACCGAUGUCUGUCCGCCAUGUCAAAACUGGCAGGAUGUGCAUUAUGAAGAGUCAGUCCAGAUGGCGAUGAAGGAGCGUUUAUCAUUGCCAGAAGACCUGCUGGCAUGAUGUCUGAAGACUGCAUCAUCAAGAAGCCGCAAAAAUGUUUUAUGGAUCUCCAGCAGAAUCCCCCAGAAGUCUUCCUUUCGCCUCCCAAAGCAUCUGCCUCCCUGUGCACAGGGGCAAGAUUCCCUCCAUUUUCUACCAGGCACGUUCACCUCUUUGGUUUUAAACUUCUUAAUUGUUGACCGGAAUAUGCAGAAACGGUACCUUUAGAUUUUAAUUAAUUUCUUUGUGACCAUCACCUGAUUUAUAAAGGUCAACAACCCUUCGUGUUGUCUCUUCUGAGAAUUCUUUGCC